rnacentral:rRNA from 1 species
AGCUUGACUCAUGGCUCAGAUUGAACGCUGGCGGGAUGCUUUACACAUGCAAGUCGAACGGCAGCACGGACUUCGGUCUGGUGGCGAGUGGGCGUGAACGGGUGAGUAAUGUAUCGGAACGUGCCUAGUAGCGGGGGAUAACUACGCGAAAGCGUAGCUAACACGCAUACUGCCCUUCGGGGGAAAGCGGGGGGACCCUUCGGGCCUCGCACUAUUAGAGCGGCCGAUAUCGGAUUAGCUAGCUGGUGGGGUAACGGCUCACCAAGGCGACGAUCCGUAGCUGGUUUGAGAGACGACCAGCCACACUGGGACCGAGACACGGCCUCAGACUCCUACGGGAGGCAGCAGUGGGGAAUUUUGGACAAUGGGGAAACCCUGAUCCAGCCAUCCCGCGUGUGCGAUGAAGGCCUCGCUGGAAGCACUUUUGGCAGGAAAGAAACGGCACGGGAUAACACCCCGUGCAACUGACGGUACCUGCAGAAUAAGCACCGGCUAACUACGCGCCAGCAGCCGCGUAAUACGUAGGGUGCAAGCGGUUAAUCGGAAUUACUGGGCGUAAAGCGUGCGCAGGCGGUUCGGAAAAAGAAAGAUGUGAAAUCCCAGAGCUUAACUUUGGAACUGCAUUUUUAACUACCGAGCUAGAGUGUGUCAGAGGGAGGUGAAUCUGCGUGUAGCAGGAAUGCGUAGAUAUGCGGAGGAACACCGAUGGCGAAGGCAGCCUCCCUGGGAUAACACGAUGCUCAUGCACGAAAGCGUGGGGAGCAAACAGGAUUAGAUACUCCUGGUAGUCCACGCCCUAAACGAUGUCAACUAGCUGUUGGGGCCUUCGGGCUCAUGGUGGUAGCGCAGCUAACGCAGAAGUUGACCGCCUGGGAGUACGGUCGCAAGAUUAAAACCCAAAGGAAUUGACGGGGACCCGUACAAGCGGUGGAUGAUGGGAUUAAUCUGAUGCAACGCGAAAACCUUUACCUACCCUUGACAUGUCUGGAAUCCCGAAGAGAUUUGGGAGGUUUCAAAAAGAGAACCGAACACAGGGUGCUGUACAUACCGUCAGCUCGUGUCGUGAGAUGUUGGGUUAAGUCCCGGCAACGAGCGCAACCCUUGUCAUAGUUGCUACGAAAGGGCACUCUAAUGAGACUGCCGUGACAAACCGGAGGAAGGUGGGGAUGAAUACCGUCAAGUCCCAUGGCUCCUGCAGGGUCACUACACGUCAUACAAUGGUCGACAGAGGGUCGCCAACCCGCGAGGGGGAGCCAAUCCCAGAAACCCGAUCGUCCGGAUCGCAGUCUGCAACUCGACUGCGUGAAGUCGGAAUCGCUAGUAAUCGCGGAUCAGCAUGUCGCGGCACAUGCCCGGUCUUGUACACACCGCCCGUCACACCAUGGGAGUGGCUUUACCAGAAGUAGUUAGCCUAACCGUAAGGAGGGCGAUUACCACGGUAGGAUUCAUACUGUGAAGUCGUAACAAGGUAA